GUCGUGAGACAGUUCGGUCCCUAUCCGUCGCGGGCGCAGGAAAUUUGAGAGGAGCUGUCCUUAGUACGAGAGGACCGGGAUGGACGCACCGCUGGUGUACCAGUUGUUCUGCCAAGGGCAUCGCUGGGUAGCUAUGUGCGGACGGGAUAAGUGCUGAAAGCAUCUAAGCAUGAAGCCCCCCUCAAGAUGAGAUUUCCCAUUCCGCAAGGAAGUAAGAUCCCUGAAAGAUGAUCAGGUUGAUAGGUCUGAGGUGGAAGCGUGGUGACACGUGGAGCUGACAGAUACUAAUAGAUCGAGGACUUAACCUAU
rnacentral:rRNA from 1 species